rnacentral:tRNA from 1 species
AAGGCCUUAGCUUAAUUAAAGUGGUUGAGUUGCAAUCAGCUGAUAUAGGGUAGGAUCCUGUAGGUCUUA